rnacentral:misc_RNA from 1 species
UCCCCGUUAUCCUGGGCAGUCCUUCCAGAGUUCCCGGCAUGACCCGUUGGCAACUGGAAGCAGGGGUUGCGCUCGUUGCGGGACUUAACCCAACACCUCACGGCACGAGCUGACGACAGCCGUGCAGCACCUGCACAGGCUCCCUCGCGGGUCCCUUGGCUUUCGCCGCGGUACCACCUGCAUGUCAAGCCUGGGUAAGGUUCUUCGCGUUGCAUCGAAUUAAACCACAUGCUCCACUGCUUGUGCGGGCCCCCGUCAAUUCCUUUGAGUUUCAGCCUUGCGGCCGUACUCCCCAGGCGGGGCACUUAAUGCGUUAGCGCCGGCACUCAGAGGGUCGCUCCCCCAAGCACCUAGUGCCCAUCGUUUACGGCGUGGACUAC